rnacentral:lncRNA from 1 species
CCCUGCUCGUCCGCGGACGGGGCGCUGCGGGGCCGGGGGGCGCCGGCUCUUCCUGUGGCCUCCACGCUGGUGCCGCAGCCAGUGCGGUUUUAAAUACCGGAGAAGGUCCCCAAGUCAGGAGAGUCUCUCGGCGCCACGGGUUCCUCUGGGAGUGCGCCCUGGCCUUGCCUUAGGGUUUCAGCCUCGGAGGACCGGUUCUGGGCAGUGGAGAAGGGACCUGAGUUCUGCCUUUCUUUAUCCUCAUCUCUACUCAAGAGCAUACAUUAAUUUUAGGAAUCCUGAUGACAUCCUUCUUUUUAGAGAUCGUUUUGAUGGAUAUAUCUUCCUUGACAGCAAAGGCCUAGAAUAUCCUGCAGUGGUAGAGUUUGCUCCAUUCCAGAAGAUAGCCAAAAAGAAGCUGAGAAAAAAAGAUGCCAAGACUGGAAGCAUCGAAGAUGAUCCAGAAUAUAAGAAGUUUUUAGAAACCUACUGUGUGGAGGAAGAGAAGACCAGUGCCAACCCUGAGACUCUGCUGGGGGAGAUGGAGGCGAAGACAAGAGAGCUCAUUGCUAGAAGAACCACACCUCUUUUGGAAUAUAUUAAAAAUAGAAAAUUAGAAAAGCAGAGAAUUCGAGAAGAGAAGCGAGAAGAACGGAGGAGGAGAGAGUUAGAAAAGAAACGUUUGCGGGAAGAGGAAAAAAGAAGAAGAA